UACGAAGGGGGGCUAGCGUUGUUCGGAAUUACUGGGCGUAAAGCGCACGUAGGCGGAUAUUUAAGUCAGGGGUGAAAUCCCGGGGCUCAACCCCGGAACUGCCUUUGAUACUGGAUAUCUUGAGUUCGGAAGAGGUAAGUGGAAUUCCCCAGUGUAGCGGUGAAAUGCGUAGAUAUUGGGAGGAACACCAGUGGCGAAGGCGGCUCACUGGACCGGAACUGACGCUGAGGCGCGAAAGCGUGGGGAGCAAACAGG
rnacentral:rRNA from 1 species